GCCAUUGUUGGGAGGGGAAGAGGAGAGCUUCCAACCCUCAUGCAAACACCCCCUUUGCCAUAACUUCCUUAUCCGGACUCCGAUUGUUGCACCGUUUGCGACCACGCGUCUAUCGCGUUGAGCUCUACAAUUUUAUUGAAUUAAUUUUAUUGGACCCGAUUAGCUUGGGAAAAACGCUUACCCUUGCUUAUUUGGCACUUGGAUAUGGUGUAUGAGUAUAUGUGAGAUGGAGUAAAAAUUGAAUAUACUAGAGGCUUGAUUGGAAACUUGAGACGCUGAAUUGUGGCAAGGAAGGCUUGAAAGCUUGCUUUGUGGAGGUGUCUCGGGUUAUACGCAAAAAUCGGCCAAUGUAUGGUUUAGAUUUCGCGUAUUUAACAUGUAAUGCCCUGUGAAAACUUAGGCUAGAGAAUUAUAGGAUAAGUUGAAGUGGUUAAAAGAGUUAAAUGAUUAGUCUUCAUUAUAUUAAUGGAUAAGUUGAUAUUGGGCAUGUGUUGAG